rnacentral:lncRNA from 1 species
ACAAAGCAACCAAAAAGGUAGCAGUUGACUGACAUCCUGGACUCAGUAUGUUCUGAUUCAUUUAAAAGGUCAGGAGGGCUGAGGCAGGAGGAUGGUUUAGCCUGAGAGCUCAAGGACAGCCUAGCAGUACAGUACAGACCUUGCCUCAAAAAGGGAGCUGCUUUUGUACCUGGGUCCACAGGGACCUGGAGUAGGAUGAACCUCUGGCAUCUCCACCCCAUUUGGUGUUCUGUCUCCCUGUCUCCAUUACUUAGAGUCGGACCCCUGAUUGGUUCUGCAUAGAUUACCUAAUCUGUUUACCUAACCUAUCUUUGUUCUAAUUGACAUCUCCAGGGCUUUACUGCCUCUGUCUGUUAACCCAGGCCUAGUCCUGGAAGCGUCUAGCCUCUGUACAAUUUAAUCUGGGCCUAAAAGAUUUUCAGCCCCUGAGACUUGUUACUGAAAGCUCACCCUUUCUACUUCUUACUAAACUCUAGGUGGGCUGGUUCAACUCAGCUGUUCUGGCUCAAACGCCUCUCCAAGCUGACUGAUUCAAUCUGCCUUCUCUCUCUCAGCCUCUCCUGAAUUGCUCUGCUUGGCCUUAUACUAACUCUGGCAAUAAGUUCUAAUCUUCUGGUUCCUUCUCAUUCUCUGGCGCAUCCUGUCUUCGCCUGUGUCUAGCUUGUUCUCUCGCUGCACCCUGUCUGUAAAACUCCUCCUUCUCCUCUCCCUCUGCACUGCUCCCUCCUAUGUUACCUCUCUUUCCUCUGUGCUUCUGAGAGUUGGGCGUAUCCUGUUCUCUCAAAUCUUUCUCUCGAUUUGUCACUUUGUCUGCCACUCAAUUAGACAUCACUUUCAAACCUGGGUGCUUCCUUCUACAAACUAACUUUACCUUCGCUGUUGGGGAUGAAAGGUGUGUACCAAGGACAUGUCUAUACUCCAGCCAGAGGGAUUAAAGGUGUGUGCUAAGGACUGAACCACAUCACAACUAGAAACAGGGCUUUUCAGUAAAUCACACAUCUUGGGGUUCUCAGUGUGAUCAAAAAUCCUGCAACAAACAGCUCCUAGCAUUCCAGGAAGUUAUGUCUUUGGGCAAAUGGGGCUUGCAGGCUAGAGACAUUUCUGCUUUACAGAUAAGCACAGUAAGUUGAAACACACCUUAAGCAAUCAUACAUACCUGGCUAUAAAACAAAUGUUUCUUAAACUGUCCCCUUCCCCAUAAAACAGAUGACACAAAGCAAAUUCAACACCAUCUUAGCUGCUGUGUUUGGGUCCAUGGUCCUAUUGCACCUAGGGUCUGUAUUGAUAUCUGAGGCUGUGUUACCACUAAGGACCAUGCAGUUAUCCCUGGUCCAAGCUGCCAUCUAAGUUCAUGUUGAUUUCCAGGUACUGUAUUGAGCUGGCCCUGCCCCUUGCCUAGGCAGCACAGUAGAGCUGGCCCUGGUGGCAAAGGCAUGAGCCAGCCCUGAGUGCAUGAACACCAAAGAUCUAGCCCUCCCCUCAUCUGCCUUGUGGUGGUGGGAGUACAGAUAAGAAUCCCUCUGCCAAGGUCAUGAGAGUGGAAGAGCUGUCCCAUCUCUCACCAGAUGCAGCACUCAGGAGAGGGGACACAUCUCCCCUGGGCAGCACAGUAGAGCUGGCCCUGACCCUACCUAUGGCACUUGGGUGAGCUAGCUGGGUCAAUGCUGGAGAUCUGGCCCUGGGGUGUGGGUGUGAAACACCCGGAUGACUGACCAACUCAGCCACUAUCCAGGCCCAGAUCCAGGGCUUUGAGUUGGCCCAUCCAACAACUACAGCAUCUAUGACCUGCUGGAGUGUGUGAAGGGGCAGCUUCUGUGGUGAGAAUUUUGUGUGUGUGUUCUGUUUUUUGUUUGUUUAUUUUGUUUCCUUGUGGGAGAAGUUGCAAGGGCAGGGGGUGAGAUGUUUUAUUGUUUGUUUCAUUAUUUAUUUCUUAUUUUUUUUGUUUUCUUUGGGGAGGGAGGUGUAAGGGUAGAUAUGGAGGGAUGGAGAGAUGAGUGGGAAUCAGAUGCAUGUUGUAAAAUUCACAAAGAAUCAAUUAAAAAAAUCUUAAAAAGAGAGAAAUAUAAAAAGAUAAUUCUUUGGUUUCUGUUGAGGUGUGUUUGAUUAUUUAUAGACAGUGACUUCUUGCCAUAUUCUCACAUCACGAAAGGAUAGACUGAGUGUUCCUGAAUCUUGGGUAUAUGGACACUAAUCCUACCCUUGAGGAAGAAACUGUCACCUUAUGCUAGGGAUGCAAGGAUGCAAGUUGAAGUUGCCAGCCCUCCCGCCUGAGGAAUUCCCCCUCAGGACUUACAAGCACCUAGGAUAUUGGCUUGAAUUAAAGAAAAGUAUUUCAGAUAAGUCUUAAUCAAUCAAAAGGACAAGAUGCACUGAAAGAGACCCAGGGUAGCCAUUGGAGAAGAGAGUGAAUAAGUGCCUUAGCUACAGUUAUACGCAUGGUUUUGGUGCCCUUGAAGUGGCCCUUGAGGACAACAAUCUAUAUCGAAGACGGAAUUGAAAGUCGUUGGUAGGUACACAUAUUUCUUUACUGAAGCAGGCAUUUUAGUAGCAGUGAGAUGCAUUUGAGGCUAUAUCAACAACUAAGAUCUACAACUAAGACUUUAAGAAGUGUUUGCAUACUCAAUUUCUGACAGAAAGUGUUAGGUCUCUGAGGCAGCUUAAAGGGACAGGAGGCAGAAAAGAGAAGGAGCCCUAGCUGCAGCCCUGACUGCGUUUAUCCAUGCACAGCGAGCUUCCUCGGGGAAGCUGGAGAAUCUCCCAGAGGAAAACAGAUGGCUGUGACCCUUUGUAUGGUUUUUGUUGUUUCGGUCUUAGACAUUAGCCAUUAGCUGUUCUAAGAGUCACAUUUGUAAUAUUUUUAGAAGUGAAGUAUAGUGUAGGUUCGUUUUGUUUUGUUUUGUUUUUGCACAGGCCAACUGCAGUCAACGGUCAAAAUUCUUGACUCUGUCAGCAAGUGACAUAAACCACUCCAGAGGGUCAGGUUAUCUCUAUGUGUUUUCUGUCUGUCUCUGUCUCUCUGUCUGUCUCUGGGUCUGUCUGUCUCUCCUUUCUCGGGUGCCCUUAGUCUUUCCCUGUUUUUCUAACCUGUCUCAGAAUCUACAUAAACUCUAUCUGUUAAUCCAGCACACUGAAUUUUCAACAGGAAUUUUGAGAAGACAUGGACGUGCAAUAACUUCCCCUCCUCCUCUUCCUCUUCUUCCUUCUCUAGCUUUGGACUGAAGCUGGAUCCUGGUACAGGCAAGCACCACUUAAGGUUUUUGCACGGAAUUUUCUUCAGUCGGGCAUACCAGCAUCUGCCCAUCUCUGUUUGACCUUCAAUCUGCAAAGACUCUUAGAACAACAACAUCAGCAAUCUGUUCUUGGACCACUGCAGUCAAGGGCAUAGUUUAUACUUCACACGUCACUCUGGUCUCUUAGAGAAGACAAUUCAUUUCUUAUUUGUUUGUUUUGGUUUUUGCGACAGCAUCUCUCUACAUAUCCAGGCUAGUCCCAACUGUUGACUUGGGACCCAGAACAACAGAACUGCACACAUGUUUGGGUAAUAGUCUUGCAGAUCAAGCUUGAAAAAGUUUCUAGGCUGCCUGCCCAUUUUCUUUUCCUCUUAAAAAAUAGUUCUGAUUUUUGUUUUAGUUUUUAUGAAUUAUGCUUGUUUGGGACUGGGCCACUCAAACAUUUACAGGGGUAUUUAAAACGUCUCGGGGGUUUAGUUAUAAUAAAUUAAAGCUUUUACAAGAACUCAUGUAAAAUGUUUACACAAACUGUGCAUCCAUUUCUCUUAAGUAAAUUGGGAUUGAUGGGGCAUAUAAUAAACGUUUUAUUAACUUUGCCAUAAAUGUCAAGACUGUUUUCCAAUGUGACUGUGCCAUUUUAAAUCCUCCGUAGAAACACAAGAAUUUCAGCAGCUCUGUUCUCCCUGGAAGUUGACAUUAUCUUUUCUUUCUUUCUUUCUUUCUUUCUUUCUUUCUUUCUUUCUUUCUUUCUUUCUCUCUCUCUCUCUCUCUUUCUUUCUUUCUCUUUCUUUCUUUCCUUCCCUCUUUCCUUUUUUCUCUUCUUUUUAUAAAACCCGUUUUAUUAUUAUUAUUAUUUUAUUUUCUGUGUAUGAGUGUUUUGCCUGCAUGUAUGUUGGUGUGCCAUGUGUGUGCCUGGCGUCUACAAGAACU